rnacentral:rRNA from 1 species
UACAGAGGGUGCGAGCGUUAAUCGGAUUUACUGGGCGUAAAGCGUGUGUAGGUGGUUGGAAAAGUCGAUUGUGAAAUCCCCGGGCUCAACCUGGGAACUGCUUUCGAUACUGUCUGACUAGAAUUCGGUAGAGGGAGGCGGAACUCCAGGUGUAGCGGUGAAAUGCGUAGAUAUGUGGAGGAAUACCGAUGGCGAAGGCAGCCCCCUGGGUCGAUACUGACGCUCAUGCACGAAAGCGUGGGGAGCAAACAGG